UACGGGGGGGGCAAGCGUUGUUCGGAAUUACUGGGCGUAAAGGGCUCGUAGGCGGCCAACUAAGUCGGACGUGAAAUCCCUCGGCUUAACCGAGGAACUGCGUCCGAUACUGAAAGGCUUGAAUCCGGGAGAGGGAUGUGGAAUUCCAGGUGUAGCGGUGAAAUGCGUAGAUAUCUGGAGGAACACCGGUGGCGAAGGCGGCAUCCUGGACCGGUAUUGACGCUGAGGCGCGAAAGCUAGGGGAGCAAACGGG
rnacentral:rRNA from 1 species